CCCAUGUAUGCUGCUAAUUUUGCUGGUACUAUGCUAACUGAGAGCCCUAUUUCCGAUUCCAAGCUUUGCAUGCUUACCCAUAUUAACUCUGCCACCUGGAUAAUAAACUCAGGGGCAUCUAAUCAUAUGACAUAUGAUAAAAGUUUACUCUUCAACAUAACACCUUUAACAGUACCCUACCUUGUCACUCUCCCUAAUGGAUAUAAAGUGAAAGUGAUAUGCACAGGAUCCUUUGCAUUAAAUCCAUCCAUCACCCUUCAAAAUGUCUUGUUAGUUCCUUCUUUUAAACACAACUUGAUUUCUGUCCACAAGUUAGUGAGCUUACCCAUAUUAACUCUGCCACCUGGAUAAUAAACUCAGGGGCAUCUAAUCAUAUGACAUAUGAUAAAAGUUUACUCUCCAACAUAACACCUUUAACUGUACCCUACCUGUAACUCUUCGUAAUGGAUAUAAAGUGAAAGUGACAUGCACAGGAUCCUUUGCAUUAAAUUCAACCAUCACUCU
rnacentral:lncRNA from 1 species